UCUCCAGAAUCUGUCCGUGUAGCUGCUUGUGAAUUGAAAGGCCGCCUGUUUGGCUGACAUGAUGUGGGGAGUUAGAUAGAAUGAUCUGGGUGAGGAUGGGCAAAUGAACUUCAAGUUUAAAAGGUCAUCUGACAAAAAAGAAACAAGCCGAAGCAAAAUUCAGGUUUUUAAAAUGGAUUUCAUACCACAUGGGAAACAAAAUGAAUUUACAUAGAGGAGAACUACAGUAAUAACUGAAGAUUUACAGCAUGUACUUUAGAUAUUAGUCCAUGGUAACAGCCUGGCUCUAGACCUGUACUGCUGGUCCAUCAGUCGCUCUUCCACUUUGGUGAAAUAUCUACGGGAUGUAGAGAAAAUUGGUCUCUCAUAUACCUCUCAUUAUGAACGUCACUAUCUUUGUGGUCCCCUGCAGGCAAGCUUACAGGCCAAACUGCGAUGGUGUACAGCAUGGAUUUUCUUGGGAAAAAAAUCAUGUUGAAACUUCUAUUAAAUUCAGCGGCCCUUAUACAAUCCUACAGCUAUACUCCAAAUACAUCUUAAAUAACCAACAUUACUGAUCAAAGUCUGACAUGACUAUUGCUGAAUCCUUGAAUGGUGGUCUUAUUUGUUGAACUCUGGAAACUUUAUUUUUGACGAAUAUUUGAAUUAGACUAAUCCUUAUGAAGACAACCUGUUAUUGUGAAAUGCCCCUGUCUUAUUAAAGUAGAAUUUGAAAAGUUGUUACAGCACAAAACCGAGCACUGCAAUACCUCUCAGGACUACACAGGUGUGCACAGGCAGUACUAAAAGCCUAAUACACAAUCACAGAGCUGUUGUGUGGUCUGUGUGGACUAGAAGCAGAUCUGCACCACAUGAGGGAAACAACUGAAAAGGGCAAAUGAAACAUUACCUGUAAACAAGCUGUGACAUGCAAUUAUGAGGAUCUCCAGUGUGCAGCCAUUUUGAGAGACUGGUCACCAUCAGAGUUUAAAGGGAUAUUCCGGUUUAAGUUUAAUCCAUGGUCUAACACACCAUGACACUGAGUAAGGCCCCCCCCCCCUUGAGAGAUCAAGCUUUCUGACCGCUAGCAUAUAUAUUUUUAGUAACCUCAAAAAAGACCGAACGAUAACAAUACACUGCAGUCUAUGCCUCCAGCAAGAAACCGUCAUCAAAAAGAACACACCUCACCACUCUCCUGCAGCAGCAUGCUCGUAGUGGGGAAGCCCUGACGAGUCGAUUACCGAGUACAGUAGAGCUCUGCAGCUCAAGGAUGAAAAUGUAUAAUUAUUACACCAUAGAAAUGCAAUCAAAGUUGUGUGUGUCUUCCCCACCAGUUUAUAACAGUUAUUAUCGAGAGCUGACAGGGGAAAGAAUGGAAUUAAGCAUUUCUAACUGCACUCGUUAAUUGACUUCUUGUAUCUGUGCAGGACAGUAGAAUGUCCAGACAGAGUAUUGAAAAAUGUAAAAUGGAAUUGAUGCCCUUUGGACAAGCAAACCAAUUGAAGUUGUUGUGGCUGUUGCAAGACAUGCUGAACAGAAGUAAAACUUCUCCAUGCGGCACAAGGAAUUUCAGAGUUUGAGGCCUGCUGAUCUCAUCAUAGGCGAGGUCGGAAAGUUUGGCCCUUAAUGCCUUCAACAUUUUUCAACAGAUUUACGCCAUUCAAACACAGGAUAUUAAUCUGGUCUGUUAAGUGAUUGAAACAAAUAAACUCCUGGCUAAUUAUUUAUUUUCCCUUCGGUGUGUGAGACACUAUUGUGACCGCAGUAAAAAAUGUUUCAUGAAAAAUACAAAAGAAAAAAAUCAACAUCUUUGUUUUAACUUGCUCGAUAAAAUUAAGUAUUUUCUGUUUACCUGUGUAGUAUUGAUUUAGUUCGGGUGUCACAUGGGUAAGGUAAUUUUAUUGUAUGUACUUUUAACUCCCAGUGUUUUUAAUACAUUCUGAUUUUUAGUGUGUGAUUUAUUUGUUUUUAUUGGACGAAGAGUAUACUGGGAGUGUGUGUGCUUUUAUUUUGAAAACCUUACCCUGAUUGCGACACCCCUUAAACUAAUCACUACACCUGAGAGAUUGGCAGGACUUUAAGAAGACGAACAGAUAAAAGCUGCUAGAGGGACGAGACGAACAGAGCGGGCGAAGGAUGAGGAAGCGACGAACAGUGCAGUGACUGCCGUCUUGCCCCCGCUAUCGUGAAGCCGUGCCGGCAGAGGACGACGGUGCAGAGCCAGGAGCCAAAGACCUAGACCGAACAAAGGACGUGUAGCUCCCUUCCCCUCAGUGACAGAGCCACCCCCGCCGGUGUAUUGGACGUGUGUUGCCACCCCCGCAGAUAAGGCCCCAAACUGUUUUAUUGGACUUUUAUCGUCCUUUUUUUACUAGCUGCCAGGUUUUAUCAAUUCUGAUUUUAUUCAGUGAAUAAAUAUCAGUGUGCACCUUG